AAGCAAGAAACUAACAGUAUUAUGGUUUCGGCCCAUAACUUGGUAUACAAUCAUACCCUUGCUUU
rnacentral:tRNA from 1 species